UGGGGAAUCUUGGACAAUGGGGGCAACCCUGAUCCAGCCAUGCCGCGUGAGUGAUGAAGGCCUUAGGGUCGUAAAGCUCUUUCGCCUGUGAAGAUAAUGACGGUAGCAGGUAAAGAAACCCCGGCUAACUCCGUGCCAGCAGCCGCGGUAAUACGGAGGGGGUUAGCGUUGUUCGGAAUUACUGGGCGUAAAGCGCACGUAGGCGGACCAGAAAGUUGGGGGUGAAAUCCCGGGGGCUCAACCCCGGAACUGCCUCCAAAACUAUUGGUCUAGAGUUCGAGAGAGGUGAGUGGAAUUCCAAGUGUAGAGGUGAAAUUCGUAGAUAUUUGCAGGAACACCAGUGGCGAAGGCGGCUCACUGGCUCGAUACUGACGCUGAGGUGCGAAAGUGUGGGGAGCAAACAGGAUUAGAUACCCUGGUAGUCCACACCGUAAACGAU
rnacentral:rRNA from 1 species